rnacentral:lncRNA from 1 species
AAAUAAUAUAUGUGAAGCAGCGACGGGAUAUAACGCUGCUGCAGGUCUGUUGGAGUUUGCUGGAGGUCCACUCCAGACCCUGUUUGCCUGGGUAUCACCAGUGGAGGCUCAGUUGGAAAUGCAGAAAUCACCAUCUUCUGUGUGGAUCACGCUGCGAGCUGCAGACCGGAGCUGUUCCUAUUCGACCAUUUUGGAACGGAAAACCCUGAGCAUACUAUUCUACAAUCCAGUUUUUUACUAUUUACAAUCUCACCAUCUUCCAGUGACCAUGCAUAAAGGCCACCCUCAUUCUCUUAAAUAACUCUACUGUAUACUAUUAGCUUAUGUGAUAUAUUGGUCAAGGUUCUUAGUUAUGGAUAACAUAAUCUCCUCUUGUUAGUUUAGGCAAAAGGGAAUUUAUUAAGGAGUAUAUAUAUAGUUCACCUGGAAGAACUUAAGAAAUCAUUUUCAAAAUAAGCUUCCACAAAAAUUUUACCACAGACCAGGACUGACAAGGGAGCCACUGCCUCUGCCAUAAUCAGAAACUUGCAACAGAGCUGUAGAGUCCAGAAUCACUCGUCUCUUCCAAGGUCAAGAAGCUGCCAAGUUAGGAAACCAGCUUGCAAAUCAAGAUGCCACCUAACAACUUCUAGCUCCAAUCUCUUGUUGCCUCUAUUACAUUCCAUGCAAGCAAAAUAAAUGUUGUGCUUUGACUCUCUCCUUAUGUAGCUCUCUUCUGAAUCAAAGUAUCAUGUGAAUACAUAUAGUAGGUGAAACCUAAAUUGUAUGUGGAACCUUUCUGCAAGAGCAUGGGAAAUUCCCUAUUAGCUUUUCAGCUUCUAUAGUGUAACAAGACACUAAAUUGUUUGAGACACUUAAUAGUUGUGUUUCUACCACAUAGGGAUAGACCAUUAUUUAUUGAUUGUUUUUAUAAACACCAUUACAGAGGAAACAGUUUUUUUUUUCAGUAAAGCUCUAGAAUUUAGAAAUUGUGAGUUUAUUGGAGGUCUCUGAUUAAAAUGCAAUUACAACACAAAAUGUUUUUUAAGGUUAAUCAUCUUUCAGUUUGUUUUUUGCACAGGCGACAUCCUUGUCCACGUGGAACCACAAGGAUUUAUGAAAAUUCUGGGGUGUUUUGCCCUACAACUGAAUAUUUGGAAAAAUAUCCUAUGUAUAACAAUGUUCUUCCACCUCAGAGUCUUAAACCCAAGCAAGAAAUUCGAGCAUGCCGUGGUAAAAUGGAAGGAAUAACUACAUUUAAGUAAACAUUUAGUAACUAUUUGCUUUACUUAUUUUUCUCGCAACUAUUCUGGUGUCAAUAAAAUUUUCUAGCUAUUUAAUUACUGUUUCAUUGAUUUAAGUUGAACCAAUCUAAUAAGUAAGAGACUAGUUAAGUCACAACUUGAAAAAAACAGAAAAAUGAGAAUUAGGUUGAC